CCCUUAGAUGUUCUGGGCCGCACACGCGCUACACUGAAGGAGGCAGCGUGUACUCCUGGAUCGAAAGAUUUGGGUAACCCGCGAAUCUCCUUCGUGCUAGGGAUUGAGGUUUGCAAUUAUCCUUCAUGAACGAGGAAUUCCCAGUAAGUGCAAGUCAUAAGCUUGCGCUGACUACGUCCCUGCCCUUUGUACACACCGCCCGUCGCACCUACCGAUUGGAUGGUCCGGUGAAGCCUCGGGAUUGUGGUUCUUGCCGCUUUAUUGUGGCGUGACCGCGAGAACUUGUCUAAACCUUAUCAUCUAGAGGAAGGUGAAGUCGUAACA
rnacentral:rRNA from 1 species